UACAGAGGGUGCGAGCGUUGUCCGGAAUCACUGGGCGUAAAGGGCGCGUAGGUGGCGACCCAAGUCGAUGGUGAAAGCUCGCCGCUCAACGGCGAGUCGGCCACCGAUACUGGGUUGCUGGAGCACUGUAGAGGCAGAUGGAAUUCCGGGUGUAGCGGUGGAAUGCGUAGAGAGUCCGGAAGAACGACCGGUGGCGAAGGCGGGUCUCUGGGCAAUUCCUGGACGCUGAGGCGCGAAAGCGUGGGGAGCAAACGGG
rnacentral:rRNA from 1 species